rnacentral:lncRNA from 1 species
UCAAUUAUUGUUCAUGUUAAGAUUAUUAUAUUAAAUGGAACAUGGAGCGACCACUUGGGAAAACAUGCUACCACAAUGGUGGAAUGGGACGCCCUUGGCUGAAUAAUUAGGAAAGCUAGUGUGAGUUAAUCCUUUCUCGAAAAGGGCAAGCGGGGUGCAAUUGUGCAAGUGUAGGGAGGUCCUCGGAUCGGACUAUCUUUUUAGCUUUCCGGACGAGGGAUUCCUACAUCGCCUUUGGCCCGGAAUCCGUAGCAGGUUCUCUCCUCUAGUGGAACUUUGUAAAGGCAUCGUAGUGGAUCCCUAGCCAUUCACCUUAGAAAUGUCUAAGGGUCUAGCUAACCCUGGCUAAUUGGGAAACACGUCUUGUGGGUAAAGAUGCGCAACCACUGUAGAGUGUAAAACUGAUAUAUCAACUGUGCUCAUGGUCAUGAGCGGCUCAGACCCUCACAUGAGUAACUUAAGUUGUGCUCACCCUUUCUAUACUCACAUCUCCCCCAAGUCAAGUACAGGUACCACAAGAUAAGAAGCAUGAUGGAUGCCGCGAUGAGUUCAUGAGUGGUCUAGGCCGUCGUCUCCC